rnacentral:rRNA from 1 species
GCUCCUGGAAACGGGUGGUAAUGCCGGAUGCUCCAGUUGAUCGCAUGGUCUUCUGGGAAAGCUUUCGCGGUAUGGGAUGGGGUCGCGUCCUAUCAGCUUGACGGCGGGGUAACGGCCCACCGUGGCUUCGACGGGUAGCCGGCCUGAGAGGGCGACCGGCCACAUUGGGACUGAGAUACGGCCCAGACUCCUACGGGAGGCAGCAGUGGGGAAUAUUGCACAA